AUUGAACGCUGGCGGCAUGCCUUACACAUGCAAGUCGAACGGCAGCACGGGUGCUUGCACCUGGUGGCGAGUGGCGAACGGGUGAGUAAUACAUCGGAACAUGUCCUGUAGUGGGGGAUAGCCCGGCGAAAGCCGGAUUAAUACCGCAUACGAUCUACGGAUGAAAGCGGGGGACCUUCGGGCCUCGCGCUAUAGGGUGGCCGAUGGCUGAUUAGCUAGUUGGUGGGGUAAAGGCCUACCAAGGCGACGAUCAGUAGCUGGUCUGAGAGGACGACCAGCCACACUGGGACUGAGACACGGCCCAGACUCCUACGGGAGGCAGCAGUGGGGAAUUUUGGACAAUGGGCGAAAGCCUGAUCCAGCAAUGCCGCGUGUGUGAAGAAGGCCUUCGGGUUGUAAAGCACUUUUGUCCGGAAAGAAAUCCUUGGCCCUAAUACGGUCGGGGGAUGACGGUACCGGAAGAAUAAGCACCGGCUAACUACGUG
rnacentral:rRNA from 1 species